UGCCCGCGCCGCGCGGCGCCUUCUUGCUUCGACAAUCAAGGCGCGAACACGUAUCCAAAUAUUUUUUAUUAGAAGAAAGAUAGUUUUUACAACUUGACAACAGUGAAGAAAGGUGAAGAAUUUAUACCUUUACGUGGAUUAAAAUUUAUUUAUUUCUUGCAACGUGUGAGUCGGCUUUGUGACGGUCAGUGAACAGUGCGGAUUUUCAACAAGAUUUCAAAGAAAAUUCGAUUUGAAAUUAAGAAGUCGACUUAGAAAAUCAGCUUUAAAUAAAUGAUUCCGUAAAUCGCAACAAAACAGAAUUCAACUGGGCCAUCGGAACGAGUUCUUCGGGAAUAAUG